rnacentral:rRNA from 1 species
CAAUAGCGUAUAUUUAAGUUGCUGCAGUUAAAAAGCUCGUAGUUGGAUUUCGGGUGGGAAUGGACGGUCCGCCGUUUCGGUGUGCACUUGCUACGCCCACCUUGCUGCCGGGGACGUGCUCUUGAGUUCACGCUCGGGACACGGAGUCGGCGAGGUUACUUUGAGUAAAUUAGAGUGUUCAAAGCAGGCCUACGCUCUGAAUACAUUAGCAUGGAAUAACACGAUAGGACUCUGGCCUAUCUUGUUGGUCUGUAGGACCGGAGUAAUGAUUAAGAGGGACAGUCGGGGGCAUUCGUAUUUCAUUGUCAGAGGUGAAAUUCUUGGAUUUAUGAAAGACGAACUACUGCGAAAGCAUUUGCCAAGGAUGUUUUCAUUAA